rnacentral:rRNA from 1 species
AGGACGAACGCUGGCGGCGUGCUUAACACAUGCAAGUCGAGCGGUAAGGCCCCUUCGGGGGUACACGAGCGGCGAACGGGUGAGUAACACGUGAGCAACCUACCCUCAACUUUGGGAUAAGCCUCGGAAACGGGGUCUAAUACCGAAUAUCACUUCCUGCUUCAUGGUGGGGGGUUGAAAGUUCUGGCGGUUGGGGAUGGGCUCGCGGCCUAUCAGCUUGUUGGUGGGGUAAUGGCCUACCAAGGCUUCGACGGGUAGCCGGCCUGAGAGGGCGACCGGCCACACUGGGACUGAGACACGGCCCAGACUCCUACGGGAGGCAGCAGUGGGGAAUAUUGCGCAAUGGACGAAAGUCUGACGCAGCAACGCCGCGUGAGGGAUGACGGCCUUCGGGUUGUAAACCUCUUUCAGCAGGGACGAAGCGAGAGUGACGGUACCUGCAGAAGAAGGACCGGCCAACUACGUGCCAGCAGCCGC